CCUACGGGCGGCAGCAGUGAGGAAUAUUGGUCAAUGGGCGCGAGCCUGAACCAGCCAAGUCGCGUGAGGGAGGACGGCCCUACGGGUUGUAAACCUCUUUUGCCGGGGAGCAACGGGCGUCACGUGUGGCGCCACUGAGAGUACCCGGAGAAAAAGCAUCGACUAACUCCGUGCCAGCAGCCGCGGUAAUACGGAGGAUGCGAGCGUUAUCCGGAUUUAUUGGGGUGAAAGGGUGCGUAGGCGGAUCGUUAAGUCAGUGGUCAAAUUGAGGGGCUCAACCCCUUCCCGCCAUUGAAACUGGCGUUCUUGAGUGGAAGAGAGGUAUGCGGAAUGCGUGGUGUAGCGGUGAAAUGCAUAGAUAUCACGCAGAACCCCGAUUGCGAAGGCAGCAUGCCGGCUUCCGACUGACGCUGAAGCACGAAAGCGUGGGGAACGAACAGGAUUAGAUACCCUUGUAGUC
rnacentral:rRNA from 1 species